rnacentral:rRNA from 1 species
ACGGGAGGCAGCAGUGGGGGAUAUUGGACAAUGGGGGAAACCCUGAUCCAGCGACGCCGCGUGAGUGAAGAAGUAUUUCGGUAUGUAAAGCUCUAUCAGCAGGGAAGAAAAAGCGCAAGCAUUGACAGUACCUGACUAAGAAGCCCCGGCUAACUACGUGCCAGCAGCCGCGGUAAUACGUAGGGGGCAAGCGUUAUCCGGAUUUACUGGGUGUAAAGGGAGCGUAGGCGGUACGGCAAGUCAGAUGUGAAAGCCCGGGGCUCAACCCCGGGACUGCAUUUGAAACUGUAGUUCUUGAGUAUCGGAGAGGCAAGCGGAAUUCCUAGUGUAGCGGUGAAAUGCGUAGAUAUUAGGAGGAACACCAGUGGCGAAGGCGGCUUGCUGGACGACAACUGACGCUGAGGCGCGAAAGCGUGGGGAGCAAACAGGAUUAGAUACCCUGGUA